rnacentral:rRNA from 1 species
GGUUAAGUCCCGCAACGAGCGCAACCCUUGUCCCGUGUUGCCAGCAACUCUUCGGAGGUUGGGGACUCACGGGAGACCGCCGGGGUCAACUCGGAGGAAGGUGGGGACGACGUCAAGUCAUCAUGCCCCUUAUGUCUUGGGCUGCACACGUGCUACAAUGGCCGGUACAAUGAGCUGCGAUACCGUGAGGUGGAGCGAAUCUCAAAAAGCCGGUCUCAGUUCGGAUUGGGGUCUGCAACUCGACCCCAUGAAGUCGGAGUUGCUAGUAAUCGCAGAUCAGCAGUGCUGCGGUGAAUACGUUCCCGGGCCUUGUACACACCGCCCGUCACGUCACGAAAGUCGGUAACACCCGAAGCCGGUGGCCCAACCCCUUGUGGGAGGGAGCUGUCGAAGGUGGGACUGGCGAUUGGGACGAAGUCGUAACAAGNAACCCGAUCAC